rnacentral:misc_RNA from 1 species
CCUAGAGUUGGUAGGCUUUGCCUUGCUAUCUCUUACCCAUGUCUUUUUGAGUACCCUUCGUUUCCCCUCGGCGGGUCCGCCCCGCCGAUUUGGGACAAUUUAAAACCAUUUGCAGUUGCAAGUCAGCGUCUGAAAAAACUUAAUAGUUACAACUUUCAACACAACGGAUCUCCUUGGUUUCUGGCAUCGAUGAAGAACGCAGCGAAAAUGCGAUAAGUAGUGUUGAAUUGCAGAAUUCAGUGAAUCAUCGAAUCUUUGAACGCACAAUUGCGCCCCCUUGGGUAUUUCCCAUGGGGCAUGCCUGUUUCGAGCGUCAAUUUGUACCUUUCAAAGCUCUGCUUGGUGUUGGGUUGUUUGUCUCGCCUCUGCGUUGUAGACUCGCCUCAAAAACAAUUGGCAGCCCGGCGUUAUUGAUUUCGGGAGCGCAGUAACAUCUCGCGCUUUGCACUCAGAAGCGACGACGUCCAAAAGUACAUUUUACACUCUUGUGACCUCGGAUCAGCGUUAGGGAAUUAGCCCGCUGAACUUAAGCAUAUCAAUAAGCGGAAGGAAGAUCGCGUACUUGGUCAUUUAGAGGAAGUAAAAAGUCGUAACAAGGUUUUCCGUAGGGUGAAACCUGCGGAAGGAUCAUUAACGAGUCUUUAAUUUGUUAGGUUAGAGUUGAGGCUGGUUAAUCUAAUUAAUAUGUGCUUACUCUGAUCGAAACAAGUCCACUCAUUACUUAACACUUGUGAACUUAUUCAUUACAAACAUUAUUAUUUGUUAUUUGGAACGUUUGAUUAUUAAAAAGUUAAUA